rnacentral:rRNA from 1 species
UAAUACGUAGGCGGCGAGCGUUAUCCGGAUUUACUGGGCGUAAAGAGGGCGUAGGCGGUUUUUCAAGUCGAUUGUAAAAUCUCCCGGCUUAACUGGGAGGAGCCAGUCGAUACUGUUAGACUAGAGGGCAGCAGGGGGAGGUAGAAUUCCCGGUGUAGUGGUGGAAUACAUAGAUAUCGGGAGGAAUACCAGUGGCGAAGGCGGCCUCCUAGGCUGUUUCUAACGCUGAGGCCCGAAAGCGUGGGGAGCAAACAGACUUAGAUACUCUGGUAGUCCACGCUGUAAACGAUGGACACUAGGUAUAGGGAGUAUCGACCCUCUCUGUGCCGAAGCUAACGCAUUAAGUGUCCCGCCUGGGGACUACGGCCGCAAGGCUA